rnacentral:rRNA from 1 species
CGAAAGCCUGACGGAGCAACGCCGCGUGAGGGAUGAAGGCCUCUGGGCUGUAAACCUCUUUUAUCAAGGAAGAAGAUCUGACGGUACUUGAGGAAUAAGCCACGGCUAAUUCCGUGCCAGCAGCCGCGGUAAUACGGGAGUGGCAAGCGUUAUCCGGAAUUAUUGGGCGUAAAGCGUCCGCAGGCGGUCUUGUAAGUCUGUCGUCAAAGCGUGGAGCUUAACUCCAUUUCUGCGAUGGAAACUGCGAGACUAGAGUGUGGUAGGGGCAGAGGGAAUUCCCGGUGUAGCGGUGAAAUGCGUAGAUAUCGGGAAGAACACCAGUGGCGAAGGCGCUCUGCUGGGCCAUCACUGACGCUCAUGGACGAAAGCCAGGGGAGCG